UGCCCCAAUAUUCAUGAAGAGCAUGUGGGACUAGACCUAUUAUUACAACUAUUAUUAUUUUUUGGAAAAUACCAUCUACCACAGUGGGAGAAGCAUGGGUGGAACCUAGAAAUAUCACAGUAGCAUUUUUGCACAAGUUACAUAAGCUUUCUAAGUCUUAGUUCCAUAAAUACUAUCAUACAGCCCACCAUAUGGCUGAGCUACAAGCAAUACCAGACCGGCCUUGUGACGGAAAGUGGCCCUCACCUCCCUGGCCUUGUUGUACAAUCAAUAUAUGUGGUUUUCCAGGUGGAGCUGCAGCCAGGGGUUUAGCAAUCCCAGGCUAGCUCUACUCAUCUGAAUUUCUAUCCCAGGCACCUGCUCUGGGCCUAAUUGGCUGAGACUUUGCAGAGACUUAUUUUGGGGUGAGCCCUGAAAAAUAGACCUCAUUUGUCCUCCAUUUACACUGCAUGUCACCUGAUCCCUGGGAAACUGGCAUUUUUCUCUUUUACCUCUUGCCUACACUGUCAAGAAAUCCAAGCUGAGCUGAUUAUUUCUCAAUUUGAUCGCAAAAUUGAAAAAACAAUGCGUUUUAUCCUCUGGUCAUUGGCUCUGCCCAUUUCAGAAGCUUUAUGCUGAAGAUAUUAGAAGGUGCAAUUACCUCAUGGAUCAGUGACUACUAAGCUGAUACGUCAUUGAUUUUUUAAACCAUGAGGUGAAGUGAGCUCAGCUGAAGUGGAUCAAAAUGUCUCAACCCUGUGAGAAGGUCUUUUUCCCCAUGUCUUUGUUGCAGCUAUGCAGGGGAGAAUCAACUUGGUAGGAAGGAUUUUGGUAAUAUUUAGUCUACACCAAGCAGAGAAAAGAAAUUUCAUUUUAAGAGUGACUUCCUAUAUAAAAGUGUAUUAUAAUUCUUUUUACCUCAAUUGCCUAGACCAUUAGUAAAUGAUAUUG